rnacentral:rRNA from 1 species
GAUGAACGCUAGCGGCAGGCUUAAUACAUGCAAGUCAAGGGGAUCAGCAAUGGUCACCGGCGGACGGGUGAGUAACGCGUACACAACGUGUCCUUUAACAGGUGGGAUAGCAUUGGGAAACUGGUGGUAAUACCGCAUGUGGUUAUGAUGAGGCAUCUUAUGAUAAACUAAAAAGAGAUUGGUUAGAGAUCGGUGUGCGUCUGAUUAGGUAGUUGGUAGGGUAAAGGCCUACCAAGCCGACGAUCAGGUAGGGGGCGUGAGAGCGUCGGACCCCCCACGACGGGUACUGAGAC